rnacentral:rRNA from 1 species
UUACGGUCACAUCACGUUGAAACACCGGUUCCCAUACGAUCACCGAAGUUAAGCAACGUCGAGCCUGGUCAGUACCUAGAUGGGUGACGGCUUGGGAAUACCAAGUGCUGUAAG